rnacentral:misc_RNA from 1 species
GAUGAAGAACGCAGCGAAAUGCGAUAAGUAAUGUGAAUUGCAGAAUUCAGUGAAUCAUCGAAUCUUUGAACGCACAUUGCGCCCCCUGGUAUUCCGGGGGCAUGCCUGUUCGAGCGUCAUUUCAACCCUCAAGCUCUGCUUGGUAUUGAGUCCAUGUCAGCAAUGGCAGGCUCCAAAAUCAGUGGCGGCGCCGCUGGGUCCUGAACGUAGUAAUAUCUCUCGUUACAGGUGCUCGGCGUGCUUCUGCCAAAACCCCAAUUUUUCUAUGGUUGACCUCGGAUCAGGUAGGGAUACCCGCUGAACUUAAGCAUAUCAAUAAGCGGAGGA